UUUUUUUUUUUUGAAAACUCAGCAAUCUAACCUUUGAGAGCGGUCAAAUUGAAUUUUGGCCAACCAGCGGGGAAACUUGGUGAGGGGACUCCUCCAUCUUAGGCAAAGCGCCAGUUCGAGUCCUCACACCACCAGGAGGAUUCAACAACUGUUUUUCAAGCAAACCCCACGAAUUGGAUAAAGCGCCAACCGAGAACUGACGUUCAAUAUCCUCGCGAUCGUUGCAGAUUGUCGAAACAACGGCAUGAGCGCUUCUAUCAGCAGCUUCGGCCCGUA